rnacentral:lncRNA from 1 species
UUAUUUCGUUAUUUCAUAUUGCAUUUUAGUUCGUUAUCUCAUAUUUCAUAUCGCAUUUUAGUUCGUUAUCUCAUAUUUCAUAUUGUGAACAUUGUCUGUUGACUGUUGUUGCUGUUGCGGCGGUCGCUGCUUAGUUUUGCUUCGGGAGUAGUCCCGUCAACGUGUGUGUGCCUUGUAUCUCCUGGCUGCUGCUUGGAUAUUGCCACCGGCUAUAUCCUUUUACUUCCCUAUUUUUUGCGUGUAGUUGUGGCUGUGGGCGGUAAUGGGUGGUUAGGGUCAUGUCCGAGGGGGUUGGGGCGUGGGGCUGUCAAAAGUUACGACUAUUUCAGGUUCCCGUCGUAAAACAACGCCAUAUUAGUCAGUGGCGCACCGGGCCACAAGAGGGAAUGACAUUUGGAAAAUUCCAGUAGGGGUCCACAAUUAUGUCACGUUGCGUUAGGGCCCAAAUUCAGAGUUUUUCUUUUCCAGUGUCUUAGCACGAUUUUCUCCGUGUCGCGCCAAAGUUCCAGGUCGCAAAAGAAGGGGAAAUGUGAUGGCUCCACGUCGCGCCAUCCCUCAGUUUCCUAAUUUUCAAAUUCCAGUGACACAACGCGAUAGCACCGCAUCGCGCCAGGGGUUCAAUUCGGGAAAUUUUUACUGAAAUUACAAGAUGCAUCCAGGGUUAAAAGGGUCAAUAUCCCACCCCUAUUUAAGCCCUUUAACACGUGAAUCAGCCACUUUUCACCCAAAAUAAACUCUCUUCUCUCAAAAACCUCUCAAGAAAAACCUAGGGCUUUUCAUAAAAGAUUCAGAAUCAUGAAUUUCCUCCGUCAAUCUUCAUAAAAUCACUAACUAAGGUAUGCGUAGUAUUCAUUCAUGGACUCCUUUCGUCCAUGAAGCCCAAGAAUAUCUUUUCUAAGUUUAAGUUUAUGGAUUUCUUUAUGAAUUUCAAGUUGGUUUUUUUUUUUAAGUUGAGAAUGAUCAAUUGAGUUCAAAUCCAUGUUGGGUGAUCAAUUUUAUUGUAAUUAAUAUGUAUGGAUGUAUAUUUAUGUAAACCUAUGAAUAAACACUAGAUGAUGAAAUUAGAGAUGAAUCAUGAUAAUUAAUUGUUGUAUAAUGUUGUCUACAUGUGCUAUACCUACCAUGUGUUUGAUUAAAUGCCUAGGUGAAGGAACAAUGCCCAACUAGUAUGAUAUUAUGAAAUCCCUAUGUAUGUACAAGUUAUGCCUAUCACAUGUUUUGAUGGGAUGAUUCUAUAAAUGUAUUAUGGAUUAUGAUGUUAGUUAUAUGUUCCAGUAAGUUAUGCUUGGUCAGUUUUCCUUCCAUCGAGUCCUAGGGGUACUUGUAUCCGAAAUAUUAGCUGUGUGCCUAGAGUCAUGUCAUGUUUCCACAAACUCUCAGUCAAGCUAUGAAUCCUUAGACUUCAGACAGUCUUAUAACUCAGGAACUCUACAUGAUCUAAUGUUGUUUGACAACUGACUAAGUUUAUGAGAUCUAACAAUUAGCCAGAUAUGCCCUUCAUGUGGUUGUAGAUAGCAGGGCAAGGAUGAGUAGGUUCAUUCAGGGGUGAAUAAUAGCAUGGUCAAUGAGGGAAGAUCUGCCAUGUCGAAUAGUGACAUGACUUAGCCAGUCUCAUGACUCAUGCUCAGCAGAUAGAGAAACAGAAGGUUAAGCAGAGGGAGAAGCAGAAUAAGAGAGCUAGGAUAGGUAGCUUUAAUUUUAGUCAGCCUAAGUCAGAGGAAGGCAAUCGCUCUUAGAUUUAUCCUAAGUCAUCAGUUCCAGCUCCUUCUUUAGCCAGUGAUCUAGUUCCUAAGUUCAGAGAGGGUAACAAAUAUAGAGCACUAGGCUCUAAGUCCCAGGGAAGUGUUCGCAAUGCCUGUACUUAUCCUCUUUGCCAGACUCUUGGCAAGCACCAUUAGGAUAUUUGUAGAAUUAGCAGUGGUAUUUGUUUCAGAUGUGGCAAGCCAGGUUGUAGAGUCA